UGGGGAGCGACAGAGCGCGUGUUCCAAUGAACAUCGUAUUGCUGGUUCACUCGUUUACUCUGUAUUAUGGGUUUGGGAUGGUAAACUAAAUUUCAAUUUAUUUCCUUCUUAAACAGUUAUGAAAAGGGAGGCCCAUCUACAUCAACUCCUUCAAAGAGACAUGGAAUGCCAAUUCAAACUCUCUCAACCAUUGCACCAUCCAGUGAGUCAUCAUCACAUAGAGAACACUGCUUUCUGGAGUCUGAUAUUGAAGUCCUUUCCAUGGCUGAACUAGAAAAACAGGCACUAGAUGACAGUUUUUCUAAGAUGAGUAUUCAUGAUGAGUCCACCGUUAGCAUAACAGAAGACGCUAACGAUCUUCAAAACACAGUGUAAGUAUUAUUCUAUUCCAUAGUUUUAUACUUUCCCUGUUUUAUACCCAUGAUGUGAGCUCUCAAGAUCUGAAACUGAAUCCUCCCAAAAAAGUAACACCCCCUUUGUGUAAUAUUCUGUGUAAUCUUGUCUGUGGAAUAAAAACAAUUGAGAUGAUGGAAAAGCUUCCGUUGAUCGGCCUGGAAGAGACUGUACAUCUUUCAACAGAAAAUGAAGUACCGCCACAACAAGAAGAUUCAGUCACGUCUUGUACUAGCUUCCAGGUUUUAUGUGAGGAUGAUUUAAUUGGAAAACGAGCAUCGAUAGUGUAUGAAUCCAACUUGAAACAGCUGGUUACAUAUCUAAAGCUGCCUAUUUUGAAAUGCAAUUUCACAAACAAAGUGACAAAUCAGGCUUGCCAGGCUUCAGCACCAUUUGAAGUAAAUCUGACUUCAAGAGGCACAGGAACAAUCAUUGAAUGGAUAUGUUCCAAUGGUCACCAAAUAUGGAGGUGGAACUCACAGCCCACACUAAAAUAUGGGAUUCAGGCAGGAGACUUUAUGAUGGCUACAAACAUACUCCUGUCUGGGAAUAACUACUAUAAAGUCUCCCACUUGUUCAAUUAUAUGAAUAUGGGCUUUGUUGGGAAGGACUUUUUCUUUAACAUUCAAGACACCUAAUGCCUAGGAGCAAUCAAGGAAUUUUGGGAAGGGAAGAGAUCUACAGCGAUCCAACGGCUGCAGGAUAAGGACAUUGUUGUGCUAGCAGAUGGAAGAAUGGAUAGUCCAGGACACUGUGCACAGUAUUGCACCUACACCACGAUGGAGAACGAAUCAAAGGAAAUCAUAUCUGUUGUGACUGUUGACAAAAGGCAGACCCAGCGAAACUCUGUCUAAAUGGAAAGAGAGGCUUUUGUAAAAACCAUGGACAAGCUUCUAACUGAAAUAAAGCUCACAGAAAUAUGUACGGAUGCUCACACUCAGAUUUCUUCUCUUAUGAAUCCUAACUCUGGUCACUCAAGGGAUAUGUGGCAUGUAGCGAAGAAUCUGGCCAAGAAGAUCACUACAGCAGGACAGCUGUCAGGACAAAAGAUACUACUGAAGUGGACAAAAGACAUUGUUAACCACUUCUGGUACUGUUGUAAGACGGCAGAGACGGAUGGGCAUUUCCGGCAGCCGCUUGAGGGCGCUAGAGGUAAUUGAUUACCGGAUAUAAGCCCCGAUCAUACACGAGCAAGUCAGAUUCUUUGGUAGAGGGAAACCUCAUGGUUGAGCUCAUGGCUGGCUACCUUCUUUCUCACAAGUCCUGUUUGAGAACUGUUUAAGUUUACGCUCAAACGUGAGUAUAUGCUGACUUUCAAAUGUGUGAUUGCUGACUUCCAAAUGUGAUAUAUGGUUUAUUUGAAAUUCCAAAGGCUGAUGUGCACUAUUUGUUUUCUU